AAGCGUUAAUCGGAAUUACUGGGCGUAAAGCGAGCGUAGGUGGCUUGAUAAGUCAGAUGUGAAAUCCCCGGGCUUAACCUGGGAACUGCAUCUGAUACUGUCAGGCUAGAGUAGGUGAGAGGAAGGUAGAAUUCCAGGUGUAGCGGUGAAAUGCGUAGAGAUCUGGAGGAAUACCGAUGGCGAAGGCAGCCUUCUGGCAUCAUACUGACACUGAGGCUCGAAAGCGUGGGUAGCAAACAGGAUUAGAUACCCUGGUAGUCCACGCCGUAAACGAUGUCUACUAGUCGUUGGGUCCCUUGAGGACUUAGUGACGCAGCUAACGCAAUAAGUAGACCGCCUGGGGAGUACGGCCGCAAGGUUAAAACUCAAA
rnacentral:rRNA from 1 species